rnacentral:lncRNA from 1 species
GAACAAGUGAGAAUAAAGAACUAAAUAUCAACCACUAAAUAUACCCUCCUCAAAUUAACACCCAUGAUUUCAUCAAGGCCACUAAAUAUUAGGGAUAGUUUAAAAAAAAUGCAACCAAACCCUAAAUCGAAUUCAAGGCCCAUAGAAAUAAGAUAUAAAGAAGGAAAUAGCCCAAGCCCAGAUCGAACGAGUGAGAAUAAAGAACUAAAUAUCAACGAGUAAAUUUACCCUC